UUGCAGUGUAGAAUACAGUGUUGUGUCAUACGGGAUAGUGCACAGAGAGUGGUUUGAUAGCGGGUUUGGAGAAUGACGUUUGAGUGAGUACACAACAUUUUGGCGACGAGGAUGGCGAGUUCGCCUAUCCUUAAGCAUCCACAUCCUCCUUUCCUUCCCACCCUUGGAAGCACUGGUUGUCGGCGUUUGCUACGUUCGUCACAGCAGCGGCGACCAAGUCUCGACUACGUGUCCUCCGAACUCUGUUUGAGGCUGGAAGAUCAGCGCAUUCUGAGAGUUUCUCUCAACGGCGGGAGAGACAGUGUCGUAUGACCAGUUACGCGCCCUGUGUGAGAGGCAGUUCGGACCGAGACUGAAUGCCAUGGUUGCGAGAUUCAAAUUCGGACAACAAUGUCAACACCAGGGUGAGGGACUGCUUGUUACAAGAGGUUGAGGAUCUGAUUCUAGAGAAAGUGACGUUAUCAUCACGGAUCGAGGAUGCCGCUCGUGAUUCAGCAACCAUUGGAGCAGCAUCAGGUAGCCUGAUUGAUACAGUAGGAGAAUGGGAGGUGUUGGCCUGCAUUUGGCUUGUGAGAAGUGGCACAUCUUUUGUUUGGACGCAAGUUCCUGCUACUAUCGAUUAUCAAGCGUUGACAUCACUACUUUCUGUGUCAGGAACAGGUUGAAGGUCAUUUCAUUUACACUGUUAGAUACACAUUCCAAGUGAAAUAUUGACCGGGUCAUUCCAAGAUCAAUUGUUGAGGUCACCAGCACCAAUUGAGAAGUCAGUCCCAGAGGUUGAGGAUUCUGGAGAAUAUGUAUUGUUACUAAAGGAGAACUCCCAUGAUUUUCAAGUUGGGGUCAGAUACAAGUCCCUUCCAUGAACAGAUGAUUCGAAGGGACUUAUGUUUUGUGCACAACAUCACCGCAGCAGAAACAUUGAAAGAAAGGGGCAUGUUGGGUAAGCAAAGUAGUUGACGUAAUUGACUGCAAAGCCACAUGCGCAUGCCAUCGGGUUAGAUACAGUUGUGGACGGAUUCAAAGGCGUACGCAUUGUUCUUUUGUGUCUGGUGUUUGACCUUACAGUUUUGAGCCAGAGUACAGACCUACAGAGCGUGAUGUCAACACAAUUAAAGACAUUUUUGGCAGACAGGUCACCAGUGAAGAUCUGUCUGAUGAGAACGAAAAUCAAGUUGGGAACACUGCUUGGUGCCGCUGCAACAGGUGUUCUGUAAUGCCUAGCGUAGCUGAUUGCUUGUGCUGCCAGGAAGUGGAUGAACUAGGGUGGAAGCUUCAGGAUCUGACCUGUAUUUUUACACAGGCUACUGUGACUAGUUAACUGCGUACAGGCAGUUUACUUGCUCGGUGCACGAGAGGCUGGGCAAGGGUAUCAGACGUGUCAUUCCAGCAUGCGUUGUAGGGCUCAUUCACCAGCAAUUUCCAGAAGAAACUGGGCUUUAUACAGGCUUCAAAGAGCGCGAGGAUGCUCCUCACUGACUGGGAUAAAAUUUAGUAUUUUACGUUUAAUUAAAACUUUUGUUUAGAGUUUUCUACAACUUCUGUCUUAGCUGGUCUCUCACAACGAGCUAUAUUGCUUGCAAUGGAACAUGAUGUAGUUUGUGCUUUAUGUUUCCUCUGGAUAUUUGGCUUUUUCUCUCUAGCUUCAAUGACCUUGGUCAUCAUUUCAUCAAGGUAGCUGUAGUACUCUGGCUCAUGAAUUGGUUUGCAACCCAUUGUUUCUUGGCUUUUGGGAAAACCAGUUGUACCUUUUCUCCUCCCCAGUUGCUGUUGUUGCUUGAUUUCUUCCAGUGUUAUGGUUGUGGUCUAAAGCAGCUAGCUGAGUUCGAGCUACCAUUCCUCUGUAGCUGAAGUACUGUUGUUUGGGACAGUACUUUGUAAGCACUGAAUGGAGCCUGGUGUCCAAGAUAACUGAUUGCAGAG